CUCUAAACUGCAGCGGCUGCAGAAGCUGAGAGAGAUAAACAGGGUGGCGGGUGGGGAGGAAGUUCUUACUCAAAUCUAAAUACAGCCGCUGCUUGCUGAUCCAAGAGCUGAGAUCACUGGGAGAGAUUGCAAGGAAACUUCUCUGGUGCUGAUUCUUCUGAGCAAACAGGUCUCGGCCUGCUCCUGCCACUCAGGGGACAGGUGAAGAGAGAAACAGAGGCAUGGCCUGUGUAAGAAAACAAAUGCUAGUUUGGGUUUUAUCUUCCAAAAGCAUCGAUAUUUACUACAAAACAGAAGAUUCUUUUAACCAGUCUCCAACACAGGUUGUAAGAAGCUGAGUUAGUCAAGUUCCCAACAACUGCAGGGCCAAGGUGGAGAGGAGGCCCCUUCGGGGAUUUCCAACUCACCCAAGGGCACGUUCGUGUACAGAGCAGCCAGGAGGAGCCACUUGAACCCACUCACGAUGAACUUGAGCUGCAGAACCUAGAACAAGGGGAUCACAGAGAACUGUGCGGGAGAAGGCCAGACAGAUCUCAUCUGGUAAGUGGCUUCACAGACUUUGGAAGAAACAUUCUCCUAGAAACAACAAUGCACAUGAGGAUUAAUCCCAGAGUCUUCUGCAGACACAGGGACGCGCAUGCCCCAGAGCUCUGUGAUUCUGCAGGUCCUUCUGUGCUCAUCUAGAAACUUGGAUGUCGUGCAUUUCAGCACUCGUGGCUGGGCAUGCUCUGCCACUGCAGUUCAAUUACAAAGCAGCACAUCGGACUCUACAUUUUCCUGACACGGUAGCCCUCAGAACUUUCAGUGAAACUAAAACGACUUCUGUUUGAAAUUCUAGCAGAAUCAACGUCCUACUGAAUGACGACUGGGCUUUGAGUUCCACUGCAGCUCAGAGUUCCAUCAAAGGGCAUCAACUCCAGGGCAUAUCAAAUCGACACUGGCUGUACACUUUCCAGCCCAUGGCUCAAAACCAAAUCCAUGCAGUUAACUUCGAGAUUUAAAACAAUAAAAUUCAGAACUAAUGAGAUAAAUGGUGGAUAAGUUUAAAUACUCUCGAGGGUGGCUAGGAAAUCAACUCGGUUGCUGCACAAGCAGGAAGACCUUAGCUCAGAGCACAGCAGGCCAAUUGUGUGCACCUGGAAUUCCAGAUGGGGAAGUCAAAACAGGCCGACCACCCAAUCAACGAGCUCCACGUCCAAUGAGAGACCCUGGUUCAAAAAAUGACUGUGGAGAGCUACUGAAGAAGACACCUAACACUGACCUUCUAGUCUCCUUAGAGACCAGUGCUUCUCAACCUUCCUAAUGCUUCGACUCUUUAACACAGUUCUUCAUUUGUGAUGACCCCCAAUUAUAAAAUUAUUUUCAUUGUGACUUCAUAAUUGCAAAUUUUCCACUGUUAUGAUUUACAAUAUAAAUAUCUGAUGAUCUUGGGCAACCCCUGUGAAAAUGCUGUUGGACACCCCCAAAGGAAUUGCGACUCAUAGGUAGAGAACUAUAAUAGACUAAUACUGAAGGAAACCAGAGAGUGCAUGUGCGUGCGCGCGCACACACACACACACACACACACACACACACACGUACACACGCACAUGCAUGCACGCACACACACACAUGUUCUCACACACAUACACAUGCAUGCAUGCACACAAACACACACACACACACACACACACACACACACACACACACCUGUCAGUCAGCAAAUGCUGCUGGUAUCUCAUCAGGUUAUUUGAAAAGAAAUAGAAGUUAGCAGCCUUAGGUCUCCAAAAUCAGGCCACUUAGUCUUUUUGUUUCUCAAAUGUUGAGUGAGGACUGGGAUUCUGCAUGACAGAAUGAAACACCUUCUUAAGGCUCUCAGUACUUGCCAGUGCUAGACUGAUGGACAAGAAAGAUCUUGCCUCCCAUGUAAGGGCACACACCCAUAGCCAUGCAGAGACACGGGCACUGGGAAGGUGGCCCACUAAUGUAGCAGAGGUCUCAUUGGUGGCUGGGUGCCAGGUUUGAGGUUGGGCCUUGUGUUCAGGUCGUAUAACCCUGGCUCCCUGUCCUUUGGCUUAUUACCUCAGAAUUCCUGUUCUCAAUAGGUUAAUAGCAGGAACUGGCUGCUGGUAUUAAUCAUCCUUAGUUAUUAGGAAACAUAGGCCAUUUCUGAGUCACUUACUCAAUCUCCCGGGUCUCUAAUCCCCCGGAAGCAUGGGCCUGAGCAAUUCCUAUGUCGGGGAGGUUCUGCGGACUCAGGCUCACCACUCAGCUCAGCAGGGGAGGAAAGAAGUGCUGAGUACCAGCAAACCCCCCCCCCCCCCAGGAGAGUGGACAAAGCUCCUGUGGCAAGAGCUGUCCAGCAGGAUAGCCUCCUUGCCUCAUCAUUGGAAAGCUACCUUUUUUUUUUUUUUCUUUUUUUUCGGAGCUGGGGACCGAACCCAGGGCCUUGUGCUCGCUAGGCAAGCACUCUACCACUGAGCUAAAUCCCCAACCCCGGAAAGCUACCUUUUGGUAAGGCUUUUCUUUCUAAUAGCUGGCAAUUUGAUACCUGAGGGAGCAAUGCUCAGGACUCUCAUUCUACACACUGACAAGCAAAAACCAGUUUCACUACAGUUUAACCCUAGUUCUGUAAAACACAAAAAACAUAUAUAGCUUUAUAAGAAAAUGAAUAUUUUCAAAUCUUGUCUAAUUUCAAAGCAAGCAGUUACCUUUUGAAAAAGCAUUUAGAAACGUUUCUAAUAUAUGAUACAACCUCAAAGAAAAUCUAUCAUACUUAAAUGUGACUUUUCUACUCUGUACAUGUGGAGAAUGUCUUGGGUUCAUAGCAGUGUCUUAGAAACUAGUAAAACCUGACACCUUCGGGUUUUAUGUAAAACAUCACAAUGGGAGGGAUGACCAAUAAUUUUGCCAAACAUUUCAGUUACAUUCAAGGGUUUAGGAUCUCUCUCUCUCUCUCUCUCUCUCUCUCUCUCUCUCUCUCUCUCUCUCUCUCUCUCUCUCUCAAAAAGGCCUGUUGGGAUUUCAGCUAUUAAUCCUGUUGGGGGAGCUGAGGAUGAGCUCCCAGGUCCCUUGUGCGCUGGCAGCUGCUCUGUGCAGAGUGCUGGGGCCAGACCAAAACCAGGAAGUUCACAGCAAACUUACUCUGACCACCAGAUCAAGCCAGGCCAACAGGAAGGUCAGCUUAGUGCAUCCAUAGAACAAAACAAACAGAUCCACCACCUCAGAGAUGCAUUCCUCAUGACAUACUGUCCUCAGAGGGCUACAAGAGCCACCCACACGCCAGGCCCUGGAGGGAAUGGUACUAUGCAGACAUUCACAGAUCUAUUUUAAACUCGGUGGAAAAUAAUCUCAAGGCUUUGUCUUCUAGGAACAGGCAAGAAGGUGGGAGCCUAGAUUCCGAUGGUCACUUCUGAGGUUCUCUUUGAGGAACAACGGCUUGGAAGUGUGUACCAAUUCUUUGUAUCCCUGAGGGUUUGUCCAAGAAGGGCAGGUUGUGGUGGGAAAGUGUGGCGUCUGGAAGUGUGGCCAGCACUCUGAGUUGCAAUGCAAGAUUCUCACAGUUCCACUCUAACAUCAUCAGCACUAAAGACAAAUGCAGGGAGAUGUGUAAGCUUUCUCCUGGGCCCACGGAAGGAAAAGGUGGGAGAGCAUGGCUUUCUGCAUGGCCACAAGCCUCCCUUAUGUGGUUGUGGUUGAGCUUCUGUAAUGGGCACAUGUCCUAUGUAACUAUUAAGGCAAUUUUCUAAAGAAAGGGCUCAGGAGUGAGGGGAUGGCCACAGAAUUAACAGUCUCUUCAUUGUCCCAUCUUCUGUUUCAUUGACUAUUAGGAAGAAAUGCCUGCACAUAGGCCAGUGCAGAAGUCUGAUGUUUUCUCUGUAUUUCUGAAGUGGCUUCUGUUUUUGAAAUAGUGCAUGAGGCAGGUUCCUGUUAACACGGAUAUUCACAGAGCCUCUGAUUUUCUUACUUUGGUUAGAGGUGCUGAGUUCAGUGUGUGUUUAAAAGCCCUAAUGGCAGGUUUCCCCCAAGAAUAACUAGGGUUUCACUUCUACCCAAUCAAUAGUGUACUGUGGGUUGGAGCAGACCACUCAGGGGAGCCUGCUCUUCACUUUAUCAAGUUGAAAAUUUAAGGACAAAAGAACUCUGUGAGAUAGCUGCACUGACACACACGAGAGGAAAUUGUAGCCAGAGUGCCCAUAUCCAGUUGGACUGAAGAGGGCAGCCACCUCAGUGUGCCAGACACUUAGCUCCAUGAGUGGCUCACGGCAUGAUCAGAACAAGCUCUGUCCAUUACAGGGGCCCAAGAGACUCGGGGCAUAGGCACCCUAUCUACAGGUAUGGAAGGAGUAGGAUCCGAUGCCAUGCUAUGGAGUGCCGAGCCCUUGCUCCCCACCACAGCGCCCCGUGUCACGUGCUGUGUUAGCUUUUCCCUUCAGAAGAUCCUGACAUUAAAGUAUAUCUACUGUUGUGUAACCUACAGACAAGGCUUCAAGCUCAGUUCUGAGGACAGAUUAUUAGCUGAGGCAUCAGCUUACUGUAGAAAAACAAGCAAGCAAGCAAACAAACACUCAUCUUUAAGAUGAGGAAAACCUGAUUAUCAAGCUUACAGUUCACAAAUAUGAUUUUUAAAAAUGCCCUGAAGCCAGGCCUAAUAGGUUUGUAAUUUGACAAAUUAACAUGUAAAUUUCCUUUAUAGAAGCUUCCCUUUACACUGGCUCUUGCUCAGGCUGGCUUUGAACUUGCUGUGUAGCCUGGGCUAACCUUCAACUCCCAAUCCUCCUGCCUUUCAGAAGUCCCAUCCUCACUUGGGCAUCUGAGGAGCUGCCUACUCCACGUCAGUCAGCUUGUACUCUUGGUUUCCUCAUCAGCAAUGAGCAAAUUCAGGCACUCGAAGGGUGCACAGUGUGAGGACCUCAAUGACAUCAAAGAGAAAGGACAGCAAUGCAAAGGACAGCAAUGCGAAGGACAGCAAUGCAAAGGAAAGCAAGAACCCUAACAUGAUCUACAGUGGGAGCUGUGAGUUGCCACCGUCUGCAGCCUGGAGCUGAAAAGUGUGCGCACCAGUCUGCUGUCAUUCCUAGAACAGGUACCCUGUCAGAGGCCUGGUGGCUCAGUAGCCUCUGCAGAGCAGAAGCUCUACUGGACUCUAAAGAACUCCGCUUGUGCACCACUUAUACAUGCACACUGAGAUGGACGGCCAGGAAAACGCCCCAGAGAGUUUUCUUCUUAAUACUCUCAAAAUAGUCAGCUUAUUAGAGGGCAGGGAAAGCAAACAGUUGGAAGGGGACUUUGGGAGGUGUUUUGGAGUUGAUGCUCUGGACGAACACCAGACACUACUGUGCAAAGAUGUGUGUCAGAGGCAAACCUUUCAGCUCACCAACCCUUUUCACACAUCAUUGCUCACCUAAGUGACAGGAGGCCAGCAUCUUUGGACUUGCCCGUUAAGACACAGGUCAGGUGCAACAGUAAUCUCCAGCGAGCUUUUCUCACUGAAAAAGACAUAGACCCCAGAGCUCAAGGGUAACAGACACUCAAGGGUAAGAGCCUAUUACUUCAUUGCUAUUGCCCAUGAUAAACCAACUCUUGCUUCCACAACAGCCUGUCUGUCACCAACUUGUGCUGGAUUAGUCUGUGGAAAGUUGAAGAGGCUUGGCAAGGGAGAGGGCUAUAGAAUCAGGACAUCCUGUAUGUCUCCCAGGCUCUUCCACACAACAAACCCACAUGAGGUUGGAGUGGAUCUCUGCAAGGCAGAAACCACAUGUGUUCACUGUGGACAGAGAUAAGCAUGUAGAAGUGACUCUGUGUGACUGCCCAGGAUAAAGACAAGACUGAGACCCACUGCAUGUCACAUAGACUUCACGCCUUCCAACAGAAGGGGCAGAAUGGACUGACUGGUUACUUGCUCCAGAGCCUAGAUAUGGUCUCUGCUCUACGCAACUUAGAACUUCUAGGUCCCUCACAGCUACGUGUAUCAAAUCAGUGAUGGGGCCUAGAAUCAGCACAGAGACAAAUGUCCACAAGUACCUCUGAAGGAUUAUCUAGAUUAGGUUAAUUGAGGUGGGGAGAUCCACUAUAAAUGUGGAUAGUACCAUUCUUUGCACUGGGAUCUCCUUAAUAAAAAGGAGAAAUGAACCAAGCACAAACAUUCAUCAUUAUGCUUCUUGACUAUGGGGGCAGUGUGACCAGCCACUUCCUGCCCUACCAUGCAGCUUCCCUGCUACAUGGACUGUAUCUGGUAGAGAACAAACCUUCCCUUAAGCUGCCCAUUUUUUUUCUGGUAUUAUCCAAGCAAUAAAACGAAAUAACUGUAGCCACUUCUCUGAAAGUCAUGUGCAAGUCUCAGGCAUGGCUGACCUCGCAGGGCUACCUCCUUGCUUACUACCCACAUGAGCAACUAGCUGCUUUUAUUUUUCAUUUUUGAUAACUUACUUGCUUUGUAAAUAUCUUGAGGAAAUUCUAAGCUUCUUGACAACAGGGGCCAUUUUUACUCUGCUUGUAUUCUGCAUACUCUCUACUGAGAAGGGCAUGGACAGUGUUCAACAAAAGCAUCAGAUAAAAAUAUACUGCAGGGAGGUGGGGAAGAGCUUCUGUCAUCACCCACCCACCUGUUGGGCAGGCUGGUACCAGAAGGGGCGUGAAAGGGCAGGAAGCAAAGGGACCAGCACUUGCAGAGCCCCGUCUUCCAUCCUUUCAGUCAAAACCCUGCCCUACGAUAAGCACUGCUUGUAAGGAACAAGGGUUCUGUCUGGUGCCGUGAACCAGUUACGAUGAUCCUUAGCAAUACACUGACCUCAGCUAAAUGGCCUGAGUAUUUCUCCAGUGGUCCAUUAUCUCAGGUUACCACUGCUACUUUCCAGGGGAAAUGUCAAUUGGGAAAAUGAACAGUGGUAUGGGAACUGUCACACUUCCUUUGGGAUUAGCUGGACACAUCAAUGGCCUACCUGAACUGAACUGUUCUUGAUGGAGUGUACAGCAAGAGAUUCUAAAGCCCAAGAAAGCCAGCUCUUUGGACAGCAAUUUAAGUUCCCUUACAGCCCCUGGCCUGAGACCAAGGGGUUGGAGAGGCAGCGGUCCAAAUAGCUUCAGCUCAAACUAGGUACCAAGCUUCUGGGGCAUCUCUGUGGUUUUAUCCAUCCCCUUCGUGGUUUCAAUGUAAUUGAAAGAGUGCAUUCACUUACAAAGAAUUACUUUUGUACUCACACAGCUUGUUCAAGCAUAAAACCCUGUACUUUUUCUGUGUGACAUCCAUCGCAUACAUUUAGAAUUAGGCUAAACACAUAAAGCCUCAGUAGCAGUUAGUCUAAGGAAUUUGCUUAAAAACCUCAGUCACUUUCAACAUCAGGGAGUACAUAAAGGAAUCAGAACAACCCAAAAGCCUCUUAUGGAAGAUAAGUUUUGAUAUCAAGCAAUGAAAACUUAGGGCUACCAUUACUAGAAUGGUAAUUGUGCCAUGACUUAACAAGCAUGAUGUAUGUGCAUGUGUGCAAAAAGGUAUAGAACCCAGUCACAGGUAAGACGCCUGCUGUGCAGAGAUUCCGAGACGGCGCUCCCUAAGACAGCGACUGAGAACUUACUCUUGUGGGCCUAUAUGUUCACCUCCUAGGGAGAUUUAUUUUCACGUUUCUGAGAAGUUGGGCAAGAGAAUCAAAUGAAGACUAUUUCAUAGCAUGUGAAACUACAUGAAUUUCAAAUGACUAUAAAGCCUGAAUCUCCUUCUCUUUCCUUACACAAGUACUAGUUAUGGGUGCUAACUGAACUCUGGCUAAUGGAUCAUUUAAAAUGCAAUCUACUUCUACAACCACUGGGCUGACUGACAACUUCUGGAAUUACCAGAUGUUUUUUUCUUUCUUUCUUUCUUCCUUCCCUUCCUUCCUCCCUUCCUUCCUUCCUUCCUUCCUUUCCUUCCUCCUUUCCUUUCCUUCUUUCUUUUUUUCUCUUUCUUUCCUUCCUUCCUUCCUUCCUUUCUUUCUUUCUUUCUUUCUUUCUUUCUUUCUUUCUUUCUUUCUUUCUUUCUCCCUGCCUUCCUCCCCCCACCCACAUACCCUCCCCUCUAUCCUUGGUUUCUUCUUGGUAUUAAGGUUUGAAUGUGUUCCUUGACAGUUCACAUGUUGGAAACUAAACCCUAAAAUGCACAGCUUAAGAAUAUUUGGAGGCAGAGCCUUUGGAGGUAGUGAAGGGCGACAGGCUCAGAUGAGUGACUGCUCUCCAAGAAGACUAAGAGACAUGAGCUCACAGGUUUGCUCUGUGUGUGUGUGUGUGUGUGUGUGUGUGUGUGUGUGUGUGUGUGUGUGUGUGUGUGUGUGAUACCUCCCAGACACAGGAGGAAGGCCCUCAUCAGAUACCGGUACCUUGCUAUCAAAAUUCCCAGCCUCUAGAUCUCUAAGAGAUAAAUCUUUGUUCUUUAUAAUUUGCCUCAGGUAUUCUGCUAAAAUGGCAGAAAAUAAACUAAGUGGAAAAUUCUAGUAAAUCGCUUGCCAUUCUGAAUCAGUGAAUGAAACCUUGUCUAUCUGCCUAGAUCAUUACUCAUCCUUUGUCCAGUGAAUCUAUACUGUAUAUGCUGUCUGCACUUUCGUCAUUUUAAUGGCUGCCUAUGCAAUCAGAUGUUGUGAUACUGUAGUACUGUGUUCAGGGAUCCUCCUCCUCCUUCUCUUCUUUCUCCCUUUCUCUUCAUUUUUCUUUUUGGGUAAGAUCUCACGGAGUCUAGGUUGGCCUCCCUUCCUGUGAAACAGAGGGUAGCCUUGAACUUCUGAUCCUCCUGCAUGCUGGAAUUACCGGUGUGUACUACAAUGUCGGGUUUAUGUAAUUGGAGUGGGGGGUGUGGAGUCCAGGCGCUGUCUAUUCUAAACAAGCACUCUAGCAACUGAGUUACAUUCUCUAGUCCAGCCCCCUUGUUUCCUUCAAUACUUCUCUGAAUUUUAAAGUCUAAAGCAUAGGAAAAGCAAUGCUAGCAACUUGAGUAUGCCAAAACUGUAAAGUGUAUCCUCUAAGUGAAAGGCAGAAGAAGAUGAAUCAUAUGCUGGCGCUGCUAAGUCAAAUGAAUCUUCUACCAAAACUGUGACUAUGGAGAAAAAAAAUUCAUGGUAGUUUUCUGUUGCACUUUAGGCAGUAGGAAUGACUCCUUCCACCCAUGGUUGCAGGCACUUCCAAGGUCUCAGGAACACAUCCACCGUGAGCCAUGGGAGACAGCUGAAAAGGCUUGGAACUGGAGGGCUUCAGCUAUUGUCCUUUGCUAAUGACAAAGGCUAACCUUGCAGGACUGCUGGAAAUUGCAGUGAUCUGCCAUGAAAGAGAACUCUGGACCCGCCUGGGAGCCUACAGAGGUUUCUUUUGAGUUAGGCACUGAAUUUCUCCUUGGAAUUCAUACACAGACAAACGACCCUCUGUGAGGUGGUAGGAAGGGAAGCAAACUGCAGACCAAACUCCUCACGUGAACGCCAAUGUUAACAAAGCUUCGAGAUCCUGUCUUUACUUCUUCCCCACUUGCCUGUCAGCUGCUUAGGCUACCUCUCAUUAGGAAAAGCCAACAUAAACAUGUUUUAGAAGGACCAUUCUCCAUGGCAACAACUUUUCAUGUCAUGACAUCAGAAUCACUGACAAGUCAUGCCACCUCUGGGGAAAAGAAAGGAAGGAAUAGAGCAGCUUCUGGCCUCCCUGAAAGGUCCUCAGGCGUAGAAACUGCAGUGACUCACAUGGCAGCAUCUCAUCUCACACUGGCCACAAGAUAAACGAGGCUCUUCCAGAGCAGACGUGAUCAAUGUGACAUAGGCACCAACUUCUUUGAAUGGACUCUAAAAAUAAUCCAAAUUGACUGUUGUUUAUAAUUCUAGGUCAACUGGUUCUCCCCCAGAAGCAGAACACACAGCUUCCAUUAACAGCUGUGUAGGGCUCCAUCUCCAAAGCAGAGGCUUCCAGGGGUCCUGACUCCUCCAUUUCUCCUCUACAGGAAACUGAAAAAGUCAUGCAGGAAUCUUGACAACUCAAAUUUGGGUACUUUUUUUCUAAAAAAGCAAAGUAGUUUAAAAAGACAUUAGACUGUUGUAAGAUAUUUUAAAAUCACCCCAUAAGGUAUCAGGACUUAUUAAGGUGCGAGACUCUUUAGAGAGCGGGGCCUUGAGAGCAAAGAUCUUUGUAGAGUACAACACCUUCAAAGAUGUAAUUGGUCAGGGUGCUACUCAAGUAUAUUAGUUUAAGAUAAUAAAAUUGAAAAGAGCCAAGGUCCUUCUCACUUCUUGUAUACUAUUUAAGGCUAUGACCUUCAUGGACUCUACUCUGUAGAAGCCAGUCUAGGGAAUCAUUUAAAAAUAUAUUCUUAGGAAUAAAUGUGACACGGAAAAAUCACUUAGAAUUUACUAAAAAUGGAUUAAAAUUUUGACUCCAGUUACUCUGACUAAGCGGACCAUAGCUCCCUUCCCUUCUUGUAGGCAGCUGGGGCUCCUAGGGCACCACAGAACACAACUGGAAAACAGCAGCUAAGCUUGACAGCCUAGACUAUUUCACAACCUUACAAGUAUCUAAGAAGCUUUCAAGAAGAAAGCGGGAUCUUUAAAAUUAUGUAGUAGGUACACCUUUGACGUUUAUACAACCUGAACUUUAGGCAGAUACUCAUUAAAAAUCUUCAAGCAAUCACUUCUUCCAAAGACAGUAACACGUAUCAACCCUUGACUCCUCAACACUCAAGUGUGAGGUUGCAAACCCAUCGGAGGAGGAACUCAAGGCUGGGCUGCAGGGAGGACAGUGAUGACCUCUUAACCCUCCUCCAUCAGAUGGCCAUGCCAGCAGCAUGUCCUCUCUGCCUGCUUUUCCCAUGCUCUACAGGAAGGUUCCUGGUCACCCUAUUUUUAUGAUGUCAGAGGCUGAAAAUCUACGAGAGAUGUCACAGCCACCUUCCCAGCAGAGGUAAGGACAGAGGACACAUGAGCUGGCAUUUCACUCUUCUGCUCUGCCAACCAGGCCCUCUGGAUGACACUUUCUCAUUAUCACAAAGGCCCUGAAAAACAGUUUGACUUAUCAACAAACCCAAACUCAAAUCUAAUCCUUUCAGACUCAACCUGUGUCCUGGCAAAGCUCUAACCAAAGCAAUCCUUGACCUAGAGCAUGGGCGCCUGGCGGGCCCUCCUCAUGCUUGCUGCUUCUGUGUGCCUGUCUACAGUGUUUUGCUGUGCAAAAGCUACAUGUGCCCACCAGGAAGGCAGCUCACGCCUCAGUGACGCUGAGCAACUUUGCAGACGGCGGCUACAACCCACUUUCUCCUCCUAGGCUCCUCCAGAGUGAGGCCAGCCCAAUCCUGUUUGAAGUUCUGGCUGCCAGGAGAUGGCCGUUUAUGUCCCCUGUCUGAGGACAGGAAAAGGACUGAGCCGUGUGCGAGGGAGAGAUAAGAGCUGAGAUUUCUGUCCUCAGCCCCUUAUCAGCCCUUCCUGCAACUUUCCAGAGCAGACGGCAACAUGACAGGCACUGAGCUGAGUUAGCUCGGGAGGCCUGGGCUCCCAUAGCUUCUGAAGAGGAUCAAGCGGCAGGUUCUUACCCAAGAACAAUACACUACACAGAACACCAGGAGAAAAACAGCAGUGAGACCUGGUGUUGCACACAGCUGGCCGCUGGGAAGCCGUGGGGUAGGAACACAUCCCCAGUCACCCUGGCAUUAGAAACAGGAGCAUCUGUUCCCUGGCAUAGCUGGAAAAUCAAUCCUCCACUGGAAUGGAAUGCAGCAGGGGACAGCAUGUCAAGCAGACUGCCUAGAACCCGACCACCUUGAAGGACCUCGAGUGGGGAGCAGGUGCAGUUCAUGCCACAGGCAGACAGCUACUGCAAAGACAAGAGAUCGGGGGCUGCCUUUCCCUUACAGCCUACUACAACUCCAAACUACGGAACAGUGAGUAAGAGACUGAAAAACCAGGAGAAAUAGAGCAGACAAGUGGGAGUCAACAGAUACAACUGAUUUGAUUUAAACAAUUCUUAAAAAUAAAAUGAAGCAAUCUUGAUUCUGCAA